GGGGCGAUGGUUUAAUUUGGUAAAACGAUAAUCUUGCACAUUGUCUAUCUAGGUUCGAACCCUGGUCGCUCCA
rfam:Glarea lozoyensis 74030 mitochondrion, complete genome.